GGCGGCAGAUUAGGCUGUUGGUGGGGUAAAGGCUCACCAAACCAAAGAUCUGUAGGGGGAAUGAGGGUUCGAGCCUCGAGAAGGACACUGAGACAAGGGUCCUAGCCCUACGGGGUGCAGCAGAUGCAAAACCUCCACAAUGCACGCAAGUGUGAUGGGGGAAUCCAACGUGCAUAUCGUAAGAUAUGCUUUUGUUAAAUGUAAAUAGUUUAGCGAAUAAGGAGUGGGCAAGACCGGUGCCAGCCGCCGCGGUAAUCCCGGCGCUCCAAGUGGUGAUCACGUUUUAUUGGGCCUAUAGCAUCCGUAGCCGGUUGAAUAAGUUUUUGGUGAAAUCUGGCAGCUUAACUGUCAGGCGUGCCGAAAAUACUGUUUAACUUGAGAUUGGGAGGAGUCAGGAGUAUUCUUGGGGGAGCGGUAAAAUGUUUUAAUCCCAAGAGGACUGCCGGUGGCGAAGGCGCCUGACUAGAACAAGUCUGACGGUGAGGGAUGAAAGCUAGGGGAGCGAAGAGGAUUAGAUACCCUCGUAGUCCUAGCCGUAAACGCUGCCUGUUUGGUGUUGUGUGUCUUUCGAGGACAUGCAGUGCCGUAGCGAAGGUGUUUAACAGGCCGCCUGGGGAGUACGGUCGCAAGGCUGAAACUUAAAGGAAUAGGCGGGGGAGCACUACAAGGGGUGCGCGCUGCGGUUCAAUUGGAUUAUACGCCCGGAACCUCACCAGCGGCGAUAGCAGAAUGAAGGUCUGUCUGAAUGGCACACUCGACACGCUAAGAGGUAGUGCAUGGCCGCCGUCAGCUCGUGCUGUGAAGCGUUCUGUUAAGUCAGAGAACGAGCGAGACCUGCGUUUCCAGUUGCUAAUCAUUUUUUGAUUUCAAGAGGUGAUGCACAAUGGAGAGACUGCCUUCGUAAGGAGGAGGAAGGUGCAGGCAACGGUAGGUCUGUAUGCUCCAAAUCCGCUGGGCUACACGCGGCAUGCAUUGGUUAAGACAACGGGCUGCAACUCCGAAAGGAGAAGCGAAUCCCUUAACCUUAAUCUUGUUCGAAUCGAGGAUUGCAAUUCAUCCUCGUGAAGGCGAAAUCCCUAGUAAUUGCACGUUAGCAACGUGCAGUGAAUAUGUCCCUGCUCCUUGCACUCACUGCCUGUCAACCCAUCCGAGCCGGGUUUGGAUGAGGAUUCUGAUGAAGAAUUCGAAUCUGAGCUCAGUGAGGCGGGGUAAGUCAACACAAGGUA
rnacentral:rRNA from 1 species